AUUAAUAUAGUUUAAUUGGUUAAAACGAUUGCCUCAUAUGCAAUAGAUGUUAAGUUCGAGUCUUUCUAUUAAUA
rfam:Pichia kudriavzevii strain SD108 scaffold00057, whole genome shotgun sequence.